UACGUAGGGCGCAAGCGUUGUCCGGAAUUAUUGGGCGUAAAGAGCUCGUAGGCGGCUUGUCACGUCGGAUGUGAAAGCCCGGGGCUUAACUCCGGGUCUGCAUUCGAUACGGGCAGGCUGGAGUUCGGUAGGGGAGACUGGAAUUCCUGGUGUAGCGGUGAAAUGCGCAGAUAUCAGGAGGAACACCGGUGGCGAAGGCGGGUCUCUGGGCCGAUACUGACGCUGAGGAGCGAAAGCGUGGGGAGCGAACAGG
rnacentral:rRNA from 1 species